rnacentral:lncRNA from 12 species
CAGCAGCGCGAUCCCGAGGACCAGCGCGACGGGACCGGGUGCGAGGAUCGCGUCCCGAAGGCUAAAGCUUGGGGAGGCGCCUGGGGUCGGGAGGCAGCGAGCCCGCGCCCCAUCCCCCACGGAGGCCCAGAGGUACCUAAGGACCGACGCCACAGGUGGCCGGGCCGGGCCGGGGCGGGGCGGGGCGCUCCGCUCGGCCCCCGCUUCGCCCCGCGGCCCUCGGGGUCACCGGCAUCGGGGAAGGAGUUACCCGGCGGCCAAGUUUGUUUAGUAAAUCGAUCGUUCCGAGGAGAGUCAGGCCGCUGCCCCGUCGCCAUUGAGCAAAACGAACACUCUCCGGCAUAUGGUGAAAAGUCUCUGCGGGAGAUCCCGAGCAACACACACACCAACCCCCCAAACAACCAAACAACAACGACCCCCUCGAGCCUCCCGCCCCCAUCACCCAGCCCCAGCCCCACCCCCACCCCCACCGCCACCGCCACCGCCACCGCCACCCCCACCCCCCAGCUCCGCGCUUGGGAGCCAACUUCCCCAAGCUCGGAAAAGUGCGGCCCCAGACGCCGCGGCCCGGGGUGGGGGGGGGGCCCCCGGGGAGAUGCGGCGGCUGCGGCCCUAAGUGCGACGCGGGAGCUCCGGGAGCGCUUCCGCGCAGGUAAGUGCUGGGCCCGCCCCUUCCCCCCCCCCCCCGGGGCCCAGCCCCGGCCACCGCCGCUCCCCAACGCUGUCGGGCCGGAGGAGUCCCCGGGCCCCUCGGAGGGGCCGCCGCCCCGGGCUGAGCCCUGCGACCCCCCGCGCCGGGCGGGGACGAGAGCAGGUCCCGCGGGGCCGCGAAGGGGCGGCCGCGGGGGGCACGCGCAGGCUGCGCCCCCAGGACAAGUAAAACUAAAAGUUGGAUCCGUUUGGGAGAGAAAAGCUUUGGGGAGGGGAGAGGGGGUGUCGUCGGCGGGUCACGUGGUUGGCAGGUUUCUGGGGCCCUUGGUGGAGUUGGUUGGGGGGUUUUGUUUGGUUUUUGAGGCCUGGGUCAAGGCCAGGGCUUCUGCAUACCCCUGGGCCCCGAGCUUUGUGGGGAGGUGCCGGGGCCUGGAGCAUCUACCCCGACGCCUGGCUGCAGUCUCACCUUCUCACCUUGUCACCCCCCCCCCCAUAGGGACACUUGGGGAGUGGGCAUCUUCCAGGGACGCUGCUGCCGGGAGAUGA